UUGGACCUGAUAUCAGGCAAGAUUACCCGCUGAACUUAAGCAUAUCAAUAAGCGGAGGAAAAGAAACUAACAAGGAUUCCACACUAGUAACGGCGAGUGAAGCGGGAAGAGCUUCAAGCAUGUAUGAUAU
rnacentral:rRNA from 1 species